rnacentral:rRNA from 2 species
UUUAUGGAGAGUUUGAUCCUGGCUCAGGAUGAACGCUGGCGGCGUGCCUAAUACAUGCAAGUCGAGCGAACGGACGAGAAGCUUGCUUCUCUGAUGUUAGCGGCGGACGGGUGAGUAACACGUGGAUAACCUACCUAUAAGACUGGGAUAACUUCGGGAAACCGGAGCUAAUACCGGAUAAUAUUUUGAACCGCAUGGUUCAAAAGUGAAAGACGGUCUUGCUGUCACUUAUAGAUGGAUCCGCGCUGCAUUAGCUAGUUGGUAAGGUAACGGCUUACCAAGGCAACGAUGCAUAGCCGACCUGAGAGGGUGAUCGGCCACACUGGAACUGAGACACGGUCCAGACUCCUACGGGAGGCAGCAGUAGGGAAUCUUCCGCAAUGGGCGAAAGCCUGACGGAGCAACGCCGCGUGAGUGAUGAAGGUCUUCGGAUCGUAAAACUCUGUUAUUAGGGAAGAACAUAUGUGUAAGUAACUGUGCACAUCUUGA